GGACCCGCACAAGCGGUGGAGCAUGUGGUUUAAUUCGAAGCAACGCGAAGAACCUUACCAGGUCUUGACAUCCUCUGACACUCCUAGAGAUAGGACGUUCCCCUUCGGGGGACAGAGUGACAGGUGGUGCAUGGUUGUCGUCAGCUCGUGUCGUGAGAUGUUGGGUUAAGUCCCGCAACGAGCGCAACCCUUGAUCUUAGUUGCCAGCAUUCAGUUGGGCACUCUAAGGUGACUGCCGGUGACAAACCGGAGGAAGGUGGGGAUGACGUCAAAUCAUCAUGCCCCUUAUGACCUGGGCUACACACGUGCUACAAUGGAUGGUACAAAGGGCUGCAAAACCGCGAGGUCGAGCCAAUCCCAUAAACCAUUCUCAGUUCGGAUUGUAGGCUGCAACUCGCCUACAUGAAGCUGGAAUCGCUAGUAAUCG
rnacentral:rRNA from 1 species